rnacentral:misc_RNA from 1 species
GUUUGAGGAAGGAGAAGAUAUUUUGCUUGUUACCGGAGUUGUUGGUAACAAGACGCUUGAGAAGAACGUGUUUGUGUUGAAGAGAAUUGGAAAAAUGUUUUGCUUUGAAUUUAGGGUCGCUGAUUAGAGCAUACCAGGAUUUUCGAACGCACUUGAAUCGGAUCAGAGACUCCGGUGGAAGUCUGGAGAGAAUCUCGAUCAUCACUCCUUCAGGAAGAAUCCCUAGAGACGC